AACGAACGCUGGCGGCAUGCCUAACACAUGCAAGUCGAACGAAGCCUUCGGGCUUAGUGGCGCACGGGUGCGUAACGCGUGGGAAUCUGCCCUUGGGUUCGGAAUAACAGUUAGAAAUGACUGCUAAUACCGGAUGAUGUCUUCGGACCAAAGAUUUAUCGCCCAAGGAUGAGCCCGCGUAGGAUUAGCUAGUUGGUGAGGUAAAGGCUCACCAAGGCGACGAUCCUUAGCUGGUCUGAGAGGAUGAUCAGCCACACUGGGACUGAGACACGGCCCAGACUCCUACGGGAGGCAGCAGUGGGGAAUAUUGGACAAUGGGCGAAAGCCUGAUCCAGCAAUGCCGCGUGAGUGAUGAAGGCCUUAGGGUUGUAAAGCUCUUUUACCCGGGAUGAUAAUGACAGUACCGGGAGAAUAAGCCCCGGCUAACUCCG
rnacentral:rRNA from 1 species